UCCCCGGAUUACGGGGCUGUCUGGCCAGAGAAUACAACUGACCACGAGGGUUGCGCUCGUUGCGGGACUUAACCCAACACCUCACGGCACGAGCUGACGACAACCAUGCAGCAUCUGUGACAGCUCCCCGAAGGGUCCCCCAGUCUUUCGAUCAGGGUACCACUGCCAUGUCAAACCCAGGUAAGGUUCUUCGCUUCGCAUCGAAUUAAACCACACGCUCCGCUGCUUGUGCGGGCCCCCGUCAAUUCCUUUGAGUUUUAGCCUUGCGGCCGUACUCCCCAGGCGGAAUGCUUAACGCGUGAGCUACGACACGGAAGGGGUCGAGACCCCCCAUAUCUAGCAUUCAUUGUUUAGGGCGUGGACUAC
rnacentral:misc_RNA from 1 species